ACCCGCUGAACUUAAGCAUAUCAAUAAGCGGAGGAAAAGAAACCAACAGGGAUUGCCUCAGUAACGGCGAGUGAAGCGGCAAGAGCUCAAAUUUGAAAUCUGGAGCCUUCGGCUUCCGAGUUGUAAUUUGAAGAGGAUGUUUCGGUCGCGGCCUGGGCCUAAGUUCCUUGGAACAGGACGUCAUGGAGGGUGAGAAUCCCGUACAUGGCUGCAGGCUUGCUUCUAUGUGAAACUCCUUCGACGAGUCGAGUUGUUUGGGAAUGCAGCUCAAAAUGGGUGGUAAAUUUCAUCUAAAGCUAAAUAUUGGCGGGAGACCGAUAGCGCACAAGUAGAGUGAUCGAAAGAUGAAAAGCACUUUGAAAAGAGAGUUAAACAGUACGUGAAAUUGUUGAAAGGGAAGCGCUUGCGAUCAGACUCGCUUUCGGUUGAUCAACGUUCCUUCUGGUUCGUGCACUCUGCCGUUUGCGGGCCAGCAUCGGUUGGGGCGGCGGGACAAAGGCGUUGGGAAUGUGGCUCCUCUCGGGGAGUGUUAUAGCCCAGCGUGUCAUGCCGCCAGUCCCGACCGAGGUCCGCGGUUCGCCUAGGAUGCUGGCUUAAUGGUCGUAAGCGACCCGUCUUGAAACACGG
rnacentral:rRNA from 2 species